rnacentral:rRNA from 1 species
UACAGAGGUCUCAAGCGUUGUUCGGAUUCAUUGGGCGUAAAGGGUGCGUAGGCGGCGCGGUAAGUCGGGUGUGAAAUUUCGGAGCUUAACUCCGAAACUGCAUUCGAUACUGCCGUGCUUGAGGACUGGAGAGGAGACUGGAAUUUACGGUGUAGCAGUGAAAUGCGUAGAUAUCGUAAGGAAGACCAGUGGCGAAGCGGGUCUCUGGACAGUUCCUGACGCUGAGGCACGAAGGUCAGGGGAGCAAACGGG